AUUCUCCACUAAUACAUGAAUAUCAACAUCAUUAUGUACCUUAGUUCUUGAAACCUAUUCAUGGUAUAUGGUUAUUGUAAAAAUUGUAUGUUUUUAGUUCAUUUUCAACAAUAUUGAUAAUAUUUGUAAUUGUUUGCUAUUGGGCCUUCUAGCUCUCGGCCCAUCUCUUCUUUCCUUUUCCCUUUUUAUUGUACUCUUUGUCUUUCAUUUUGUUUUCAACUUUCAAUAAUAAUACAUUGUGUUCUCGAUUCCUCUUUCUGUUCUUUACUUUCUCUGCGCUUUACUUUCUCAUCUUGCUUUUCACUUCUCUGGGUGCAUCACUUACCACUUACAUCAUCUUCCUUCCUCGUGCCACGGCUGAUUUGCAAAGCAUUCUCUGCAGGUAUGAAUUUCUUGAUCUUUAUUUCAAUUGAUUGGUAUUGCAAAUACAUCGAAUCUCCUUCAUCUCGCACCCUCUGUCUGUUAUCUUGAUAUGGUAUCAGAGCUCUUCUUUUGAAGAGCUCUACUGCGUUACUCUGUUUCCCCUUCUCCCUCUCUUGUAUUUUUUUUUUUCGAUCUUCUUCCCUUCAGUCAUGGCGGACGACAGCUUUGUCCACAAUUACCUGUAUCUCCAUCCCGGCGAGAACCCAGCGACGGCGUUUCAC
rnacentral:lncRNA from 1 species